AGAAUUCAUACUGGAGAGAAACCUUACAAAUGUAAUCAAUGUGAUAAAGCCUUUGCACGACACAGUCAUCUCCAAAUCCAUAAAAGAACACAUACUGGAGAGAAACCCUAUGAAUGUAAUCAAUGUGGUAAAGCCUUUGUAUGUUCCAGUCAUCUCCAAAGACAUAAAAGAAUGCACACUGGGGAGAAACCUUAUGAAUGUAAUCAGUGUGGUAAAGCCUUUGCAUAUCAUUGUGGACUUCAAAGUCAUGUAAGAGCACAUACUGGAGAGAAGCCCUACGAAUGUAUUCAAUGUGGUAAAGCCUUCGCAUGUCACAUUAGUCUUCAAAACCAUGAAAGAAUGCAUAUUGGAGAGAAACCCUAUG
rnacentral:lncRNA from 1 species